CUCUUAACCCAUUGAGCCACAAUGGGAACUCUCAAUCUUCUCUUAGCUCAAGGGAAUGGAGGGGAAAAUAGUUUGCAUAUAUUGACAAGUUGCUUAUUAUAAUUAUCAACUUGAAGCAUUUGGUGGUGUGUUUUCUCAUCUGUCACUGUCAGUAUAUUCUGAUAGGUGACUUCAAAAUAUCUUCCUAAAGAGCUGAUCUCAUUUCUUUUUGCCAAACUCCCACAUGCAAUGAACACAGAGUAAAUCAAAAACAAACUCUAGCCCCAAGGGAACUGUGUAGUGUUAUAGUUAGGUCACAGGCUCCAGCCAGGGAUAGAAACUGAGAGUUUUGGUGAGCAAACUGAGCAAAUAAGACCCAAGGUCAGGACACAGGGGGCAGACACUGUUGCCACACAAAAUCCUAGCACCCGAGGUCACAGCAGAGUCAAUGGAGAAAAUGCCCGGGUACAUGGGCAUUUAGCAGACCAGGAAAGGACUGAAAAGCAGAUCUGAACAGCAGAAAGUGUGGAGAAGAGAUUGGAGUGAGGCAAUACAUGGGAGCAAGACUGCAGGCUGGACGAUGGAUCAGGAAUUCAUUGCAAUAAUCAGGCCCAGGGAUAACCAGGACCUACUGACAGCUACUACAUGAGUGAGCUCGGAAGUCGGUCCUAACUCAGCUGUAGCCUUCUGGAGACUGCAGUCCCUCUGGACAGCUUAACUGCAACUUCAUGAGAGACCUUGAACCUAAACUACCAGGGACCCAAAUUUCUGACCCACAGAAACUAUGAGACAAAGUUUUUUGCUAUAAGUUGGUAAAUUUGUUAUUUACCAAUUUUUGGGGGUAAUUUGUUAUACAUACAUGGAUAACUAAUUCAUCAGAUUAAUGAAAGUGAAGGGAAGGUGGUGAUCGGUUUCCAGGACCCAGCACAGUUGGAUAACUUUCUCCAGCAGCCCUAGACAACUCCAGACAAUAUGCUUGUCGACUUUAUAUGCCAUUGAUAUUAUGCGAUGUCCAAUAAUAUCUUUUUUUAAUAGUAUUUUUUAUUUUUUUCUUUCUAAUUUUGCUGUUUUAAGGCUGUGG